UACGGGGGGAGCAAGCGUUGUUCGGAUUUACUGGGCGUAAAGGGCGGGUAGGCGGCCACUGCAAGUCGGUUGUGAAAUCUCCGGGCUUAACCCGGAAAGGUCAACCGAUACUGCAGGGCUAGAGUGCAGAAGGGGCAACUGGAAUUCUCGGUGUAGCGGUGAAAUGCGUAGAUAUCGAGAGGAACACCUGCGGCGAAGGCGGGUUGCUGGGCUGACACUGACGCUGAACUGCGAAAGCUAGGGGAGCGAACGGG
rnacentral:rRNA from 2 species